rfam:Candidate division TM6 bacterium GW2011_GWF2_43_87 TW09_C0002, whole genome shotgun sequence.
GCGAUGAAGAGUUUGAUUCUGGCUCAGAAUAAACGCUGGCGGCGUGCUUAACACAUGCAAGUCGAACGUGAAAGGCCUUCGGGCUGAGUAAAGUGGCGAACGGGUGAGUAACGCGUGGGUAAUCUACCCUUUAGUGAAGAAUACCUCAGAGAAAUCUGAGUUAAUACUGCAUAAGCUCCUACGGGAGGAAAGAUGGCCUCUUUGCUGUCGCUAAAGGAUGAGCUUGCGUACUAUUAGCUAGUUGGUAGGGUAAAGGCCUACCAAGGCGAUGAUGGUUAGCCGGCCUGAGAGGGUGCUACGGGAGGCAGCAGUGAGGAAUAUUGCGCAAUGGGCGAAAGCCUGACGCAGCGACGCCGCGUGGAGGAUGAAGGCCUUCGGGUUGUAAACUUCUGUUAAGUGGAAAAAAAUACGCAGACCUAAUACGUCUGCGGGAUGAUGGUACCACUAGAGAAAGCACCGGCUAACUUCGUGCCAGCAGCCGCGGUAAUACGAAGGGUGCGAGCGUUAUUCGGAAUCAUUGGGCGUAAAGGGUGCGUAGGCGGCUAGCUAAGUCAACUGUUUAAUUCCUCGGCCUAACUGAGGGACAGCGGUAGAUACUGGUUGGCUAGAGUGUGGGAGAGAGAAGCGGAAUUCUCGGAGUAGCGGUAAAAUGCGUAGAUCUCGAGAGGAACACCAAUGGCGAAGGCAGCUUCUUGGCCCAUUACUGACGCUAAUGCACGAAAGCGUGGGGAGCAAACAGGAUUAGAUACCCUGGUAGUCCACGCUGUAAACGAUGAUCACUAGACGUUGGAUCUGCUUGCAGAUUCAGUGUCGUAGCUAACGCGUUAAGAUUAAAACUCAAAGAAAUUGACGGGGGUCCGCACAAGCGGUGGAACAUGUGGUUUAAUUCGAUACUACGCGAGGAACCUUACCUAGGCUUGACAUGCAUAUGACCGUCGUGGAAACACGAUCUUUCAGGGGUAACCCUGAACAUUUGCACAGGUGCUGCAUGGCUGUCGUCAGCUCGUGUCGUGAGAUGUCGGGUUAAGUCCUUUAACGAGCGCAACUCCUGCUGCCAGUUGCUACUUCAAUUUAUUGAAGGCACUCUGGCGGGACUGCCUGGGAAACCAGGAGGAAGGCGGGAAUGACGUCAAGUCAUCAUGGUCCUUAUGCCUAGGGCGACACACGUGUUACAAUGGCUGAUACAAAGGGCUGCAAAUCCGUAAGGAGGAGCUAAUCCAAUAAAGUCAGUCUAAGUUCGGAUCGAGGUCUGCAAGCAUAUCAGAACGAUGCGGUGAAUACGUUCUCGGACCUUGUACACACCGCCCGUCACACCAUGAAAGCUGUCUGCACCCGAAAUCAUUUUAGCUAACCCUUUUAGGGAGGCGGAUGUUGAAGGUGUGGGGAGUGAUCGGGGUUAAGUCGUAACAAGGUAGCUGUAGGAGAACCUGCGGCUGGAUCACCUCCUUU